AAUAUUUUGGUUAAGUUACUAAGAGCAUACGGUGGAUGCCUUGGUACGAGAAGCUGAUGAAGGACGCGGCUACCUGCGAUAAUCUACGGUGAGACGGAAGCAAUCUAAGACCCGUAGGUUUCCGAAUGGGGCAACCCAAAUAGAGUAAUGUCUAUUUACCGGUAUUUGAAUACAUAGGAUAUCCGGAAGCAACCCAGGGAACUGAAACAUCUAAGUACCUGGUGGAAGAGAAAACAAUAGUGAUUUCCCAAGUAGUGGCGAGCGAAAAGGAAUCAGCCUAAACCUAUCAACAUGUUAAAGGUGGCAACCGUUGUGUUGAAGGUGUAGCGGGACACUUUAGAGAUAAUUGCCAUAUUCUCAAAGAGUCAAAAAGUAUAACGUUAGUCGAAUGUUCUGGAAAGUUCAACCAUAGAAGGUGAUAGUCCUGUAGGCGAAAACAUUAUACCUCUUUAAGUGCACCCAAGUAGUGCGGAGUAAGUGAAAUUCUGUACGAAUCCGGGAGAACCAUCUCCUAAGGCUAAAUACUCUCUCGUAACCGAUAGUGAAGCAGUACCGUGAGGGAAAGGUGAAAAGUACUCCUAUUAGGAGAAUGAAAUAGUACCUGAAACCGUAUGCUUACAAGCAGUUGGAGUCCCGAUUUAUCGGGAUGACAGCGUGCCUUCUGGAUAAUGAGCCAACGAGUUACUCGUAUGUUGCACGGUUAACCCGCUAAGCGGGGCAGCCAUAGCGAAAGCAAGUCCUAAUUGGGCGUUUUAGUAACAUGCGGUAGACGCGAAACCGAGUGAUCUAUCCUUGUCCAGGAUGAAGUGAGGGUAAAACCUCAUGGAGGUCCGAACUAGUGUGGGUUGAAAACCGCUUGGAUGAGAUGAGGAUAGGGGUGAAAGGCUAAUCAAACUCGGAAAUAGCUCGUAUUCCCCGAAAUAGCUUUAGGGCUAGCCUCGAUUAAAAAUGUAACGGAGGUAGAGCACUGAUUGGGCUAGGGCUGUCACAACGGUACCAAACCCAGACAAACUCCGAAUUCCGUAUACAUGUUUUUCGGGAGUCAGGCCACGAGGGAUAAGCUUCGUGGCCAAAAGGGAAACAACCCAAACCAUCAACUAAGGUCCCAAAGUUGUAGUUAACAGAGAAAGGAUGUUGAGUUGCAUAGACAACUAGGAUGUUGGCUUAGAAGCAGCCAUUCAUUUAAAGAGUGCGUAAUAGCUCACUAGUCAAGCGACUCGGCGUCGACAAUUCGCGGGACUCAAACUACACACCGAAGUUAUGGAUUUUCCGCUUACGCGGAAAGUGGUAGGGGAACAUUCUAUUUGCAUUGAAGGUGUAUCGCGAGGUAUGCUGGAGCGGAUAGAAAAGCAAAUGUUGGCAUUAGUAACGAUAAUGGAGCUGAAAAAGCUCCACACCGAAAAUCUAAGGUUUCCUGAGCAACGUUAAUCGUCUCAGGGUUAGUCGAGACCUAAGCCGAGGCUGAAAGGCGUAGGUGAUGGCAAACAGGUUAAUAUUCCUGUACCUGGUAAUAAUUGUUUGACUAUAAGGAGUAACGCAGAAGUGAAAGGUCAGCCGCCUGUUGGAUUAGGCGGUCUAAGCAUGUAGGGAGAGAGAGUAGGCAAAUCCGCUUUCUCAAUUCUGAAGUGCGACGGGGAGUCCUUUGGACACAAACUGACCCUAAGCAGACUGCCGAGAAAAACUUCGUAUAGGAGAUUAUUAUCAGUUCGUACCGUAAACCGACACAGGUAGAUGGGAUGAGUAUUCUAAGGUGCUCGAGUGAGCCGUGGUUAAGGAACUCGGCAAAUUAACCCCGUAACUUCGGGAAAAGGGGUUCCCGCCUUUGGCGGGACGCAGUGAAAAGGCCCAAGCGACUGUUUAACAAAAACAUAUGUCUCUGCGAAGUCAAUCAAGACGAUGUAUAGGGACUGACACCUGCCCGGUGCUGGAAGGUUAAGAGGAGAUGUCAUGCCGACUUGUCGGUAGAAGCAUUGAAUCGAAGCCCCAGUAAACGGCGGCCGUAACUAUAACGGUCCUAAGGUAGCGAAAUUCCUUGUCGGGUAAGUUCCGACCUGCA
rnacentral:rRNA from 1 species